AGGGGUGUAGCUCAGUUGGUAGAGCAAUGGUCUCCAAAACCAUGUGUCGGGGGUUCGAUUCCUCUCGCCCCUGCCA
rnacentral:tRNA from 1 species